AUUGAACGCUGGCGGCAGGCUUAACACAUGCAAGUCGAGCGGGGUGAUGGUGCUUGCACUAUCACUUAGCGGCGGACGGGUGAGUAAUGCUUAGGAAUCUGCCUAUUAGUGGGGGACAACAUCUCGAAAGGGAUGCUAAUACCGCAUACGUCCUACGGGAGAAAGCAGGGGAUCACUUGUGACCUUGCGCUAAUAGAUGAGCCUAUGUGGGGUUAGCUAGUUGGUGGGGUAAAGGCCUACCAAGGCGACGAUCUGUAGCGGGGCUGCGAGGAGGAACGACCAAACUGGGAAUGAGAAAAGGGCGAGACUCCUAGGGGGGGCGGCAGUGGGGAAUAUUGGAGAAUGGGGGGAACCCGGAUCCAGCCAUGCCGCGUGUGUGAAGAAGGGCUUAUGGUUGUAAAGCACUUUAAGCGAGGAGGAGGCUCUAUUGGAUAAUACCCAAGAUGAGUGGACGUUACUCGCAGAAUAAGCACCGGCUAACUCUGUGCCAGCCGCCGCCGUAA
rnacentral:rRNA from 1 species